rnacentral:rRNA from 1 species
UACGUAGGGGGCUAGCGUUGUCCGGAUUUAUUGGGCGUAAAGAGCGUGUAGGCGGCUUGGCAAGUCUGCUGUGAAAACUCGAGGCUCAACCUCGAGCUGUCGGUGGAAACUGCUUGGCUAGAGUCCGGAAGAGGAGACUGGAAUUCCUGGUGUAGCGGUGGAAUGCGCAGAUAUCAGGAGGAACACCGGUGGCGAAGGCGGGUCUCUGGGCCAUUGACUGACGCUGAGGAGCGAAAGCGUGGGGAGCGAACAGG